rnacentral:SRP_RNA from 2 species
GGGGGGUCGGCAACGGACGAGCGCCUUGCCAACCCGGUCAGGUCCGGAAGGAAGCAGCCGCAACGAGUUCCGCUCGGGUCGGUGUCCGGCCCCCCGCU